UACGUAGGCAGCGAGCGUUGUUCGGAGUUACUGGGCGUAAAGGGUGUGUAGGCGGUUGUUUAAGUUUGGUGUGAAAUCUCCCGGCUCAACUGGGAGGGUGCGCCGAAUACUGAAUGACUAGAGUGCGGGAGAGGAAAGUGGAAUUCCUGGUGUAGCGGUGAAAUGCGUAGAUAUCAGGAGGAACACCGGUGGUGUAGACGGCUUUCUGGACCGUAACUGACGCUGAGACACGAAAACGUGGGUAGCAAACGGG
rnacentral:rRNA from 1 species